UGGGGAAUAUUGCACAAUGGGCGAAAGCCUGAUGCAGCAACGCCGCGUGAGUGAUGAAGGCCUUCGGGUUGUAAAGCUCUGUCUUCUGGGACGAUAAUGACGGUACCAGAGGAGGAAGCCACGGCUAACUACGUGCCAGCAGCCGCGGUAAUACGUAGGUGGCAAGCGUUGUCCGGAUUUACUGGGCGUAAAGGAUGCGUAGGCGGAUACUUAAGUCAGAUGUGAAAAUCCCGGGCUUAACUUGGGAACUGCAUUUGAAACUGGGUAUCUAGAGUGCGGGAGAGGAAAGUGGAAUUCCUAGUGUAGCGGUGAAAUGCGUAGAGAUUAGGAAGAACACCAGUGGCGAAGGCGACUUUCUGGACCGUAACUGACGCUGAGGCAUGAAAGCGUGGGGAGCAAAC
rnacentral:rRNA from 1 species